rnacentral:misc_RNA from 1 species
AAAUGCGAUAAGUAAUGUGAAUUGCAGAAUUCAGUGAAUCAUCGAAUCUUGAACGCACAUUGCGCCCGCCAGUAUUCUGGCGGGCAUGCCUGUUCGAGCGUCAUUACAACCCUCAGGCCCCCGGGCCUGGCGUUGGGGAUCGGCGGAAGCCCCCUGCGGGCACAACGCCGUCCCCCAAAUACAGUGGCGGUCCCGCCGCAGCUUCCAUUGCGUAGUAGCUAACACCUCGCAACUGGAGAGCGGCGCGGCCACGCCGUAAAACACCCAACUUCUGAAUGUUGACCUCGAAUCAGGUAGGAAUACCCGCUGAACUUAAGC